rnacentral:rRNA from 1 species
UGGGGAAUUUUCCGCAAUGGGCGAAAGCCUGACGGAGCAAUACCGCGUGCGGGAGGAAGGCCUUUGGGUCGUAAACCGCUUUUAACAGGGAAGAAGAUCUGACGGUACCUGUUGAAUAAGCCUCGGCUAACUCCGUGCCAGCAGCCGCGGUAAGACGGAGGAGGCAAGCGUUAUCCGGAAUUAUUGGGCGUAAAGCGUCCGCAGGUGGCCUUUCAAGUCUGCUGUUAAAGCCCAGGGCUCAACUCUGGAUCAGCAGUGGAAACUGAAAGGCUAGAGUACGGUAGGGGUAGAGGGAAUUCCCAGUGUAGCGGUGAAAUGCGUAGAUAUUGGGAAGAACACCAGUGGCGAAGGCGCUCUGCUGGGCCGUAACUGACACUCAUGGACGAAAGCUA